rnacentral:miRNA from 1 species
UCAUAAGCCUUCUCAAU